GGUUAAGUGACUAAGCGUACACGGUGGAUGCCUUGGCAGUCAGAGGCGAUGAAAGACGUAGUAACUUGCGAUAAGCCCAGAUUAGGUAGUAACAACCAUUUGAGUCUGGGAUUUCUGAAUGGGGAAACCCACGUGCAUAAGCACGUAUCCUUACCUGAAUACAUAGGGUAAGGAGGCGAACCGGGGGAACUGAAACAUCUAAGUACCCCGAGGAAAAGAAAUCAACCGAGAUUCCGAAAGUAGCGGCGAGCGAAAUUGGACUAGCCCUUAAGCUUUACACGUGUUAGACGAACGGUCUGGAAAGUCCGACGAUACAGGGUGAUAGUCCCGUAGUUGACGACGUGUGUUCAGUGAAAUCGAGUAGGGCGGGACACGUGAUAUCCUGUCUGAAUAUGGGGGGACCAUCCUCCAAGGCUAAAUACUACUGACUGACCGAUAGUGAACCAGUACCGUGAGGGAAAGGCGAAAAGAACCCCUGUGAGGGGAGUGAAAUAGAACCUGAAACCGUGUACGUACAAGCAGUAGGAGCAGGCUUUGUCCUGUGACUGCGUACCUUUUGUAUAAUGGGUCAGCGACUUAUAUUCAGUGGCAAGGUUAACCAUCUAGGGGAGCCGUAGGGAAACCGAGUCUUAACUGGGCGUUCAGUCUCUGGAUAUAGACCCGAAACCAGGUGAUCUAGCCAUGGGCAGGUUGAAGGUUGAGUAACAUCAACUGGAGGACCGAACCGACUAAUGUUGAAAAAUUAGCGGAUGACUUGUGGCUAGGGGUGAAAGGCCAAUCAAACCUGGAGAUAGCUGGUUCUCCCCGAAAGCUAUUUAGGUAGCGCCUCGGACGAAUACUACUGGGGGUAGAGCACUGUUAAGGCUAGGGGGUCAUCCCGACUUACCAACCCUUUGCAAACUCCGAAUACCAGUAAGUACUAUCCGGGAGACACACGGCGGGUGCUAACGUCCGUCGUGGAGAGGGAAACAACCCAGACCGCCAGCUAAGGUCCCAAAUUACUACUAAGUGGGAAACGAUGUGGGAAGGCUCAGACAGCCAGGAUGUUGGCUUAGAAGCAGCCAUCAUUUAAAGAAAGCGUAAUAGCUCACUGGUCGAGUCGGCCUGCGCGGAAGAUGUAACGGGGCUAAGUAGUAAACGAAGCUGCGGCAAUGUGCUUUGCACAUUGGGUAGGGAGCGUUCUGUAAGCGGUUGAAGGUGUGUGUAACGCAUGCUGGACGUAUCAGAAGUGCGAAUGCUGACAUGAGUAACGAUAAAGGGGGUGAAAAACCUCCUCGCCGGAAGACCAAGGGUUCCUGUCCAACGUUAAUCGGGGCAGGGUAAGUCGACCCCUAAGGCGAGGCCGAAAGGCGUAGUCGAUGGGAAACGGGUUAAUAUUCCCGUACUUCUUACAAUUGCGAUGGGGGGACGGAGAAGGCUAGGUGGGCCUGGCGACGGUUGUCCAGGUUCAAGUGCGUAGGCUUGAGAGUUAGGUAAAUCCGGCUCUUUUUAAGGCUGAGACACGACGUCGAGCCACUACGGUGGUGAAGUCAUUGAUGCCAUGCUUCCAGGAAAAGCCUCUAAGCUUCAGAUUGUAAGGAAUCGUACCCCAAACCGACACAGGUGGUCGGGUAGAGAAUACCAAGGCGCUUGAGAGAACUCGGGUGAAGGAACUAGGCAAAAUGGUACCGUAACUUCGGGAGAAGGUACGCUCUCGACGGUGAAGUCCCUCGCGGAUGGAGCUAUUGAGAGUCGCAGAUACCAGGUGGCUGCAACUGUUUAUUAAAAACACAGCACUGUGCAAAAUCGUAAGAUGACGUAUACGGUGUGACGCCUGCCCGGUGCCGGAAGGUUAAUUGAUGGGGUUAGACUUCGGUCGAAGCUCUUGAUCGAAGCCCCGGUAAACGGCGGCCGUAACUAUAACGGUCCUAAGGUAGCGAAAUUCCUUGUCGGGUAAGUUCCGACCUGCACGAAUGGCGUAAUGAUGGCCACGCUGUCUCCACCCGAGACUCAGUGAAAUUGAAAUCGCUGUGAAGAUGCAGUGUACCCGCGGCUAGACGGAAAGACCCCGUGAACCUUUACUACAGCUUGGCACUGAACAUUGACCCUACAUGUGUAGGAUAGGUGGGAGGCUUUGAAGCACGUACGCCAGUAUGUGUGGAGCCGUCCUUGAAAUACCACCCUUGUAGUGUUGAUGUUCUAACGUCGACCCCUUAUCGGGGUUGCGGACAGUGCCUGGUGGGUAGUUUGACUGGGGCGGUCUCCUCCCAAAGAGUAACGGAGGAGCACGAAGGUGGGCUAAUCACGGUUGGACAUCGUGAGGUUAGUGCAAUGGCAUAAGCCCGCUUGACUGCGAGAAUGACAAUUCGAGCAGGUGCGAAAGCAGGUCAUAGUGAUCCGGUGGUUCUGAAUGGAAGGGCCAUCGCUCAACGGAUAAAAGGUACUCCGGGGAUAACAGGCUGAUACCGCCCAAGAGUUCAUAUCGACGGCGGUGUUUGGCACCUCGAUGUCGGCUCAUCACAUCCUGGGGCUGAAGUCGGUCCCAAGGGUAUGGCUGUUCGCCAUUUAAAGUGGUACGCGAGCUGGGUUUAGAACGUCGUGAGACAGUUCGGUCCCUAUCUGCCGUGGGCGUUGGAAGAUUGAAGGGGGCUGCUCCUAGUACGAGAGGACCGGAGUGGACGAACCUCUGGUGUUCGGGUUGUGUCGCCAGACGCAUUGCCCGGUAGCUAAGUUCGGAAUCGAUAACCGCUGAAAGCAUCUAAGCGGGAAGCGAGCCCUGAGAUGAGUCUUCCCUGAUACUUUAAGUAUCCUAAAGGGUUGUCGGAGACUACGACGUUGAUAGGUCAGGUGUGUAAGUGCUGUGAGGCAUUGAGCUAACUGAUACUAAUUGCCCGUGAGGCUUAACCAU
rnacentral:rRNA from 1 species